AGGACGAACGCUGGCGGCGUGCUUAACACAUGCAAGUCGAACGGUGAAGCCCUUCGGGGUGGAUCAGUGGCGAACGGGUGAGUAACACGUGGGUAAUCUGCCCUGCAUUCUGGGACAAGCCUUGGAAACGAGGUCUAAUACCGGAUACGACGCAUCUCCGCAUGGGGUGUGCGUGGAAAGCUCUGGCGAUGCAGGAUGAACCCGCGGCCUAUCAGCUUGUUGGUGGGGUGAUGGCCUACCAAGGCGACGACGGGUAGCCGGCCUGAGAGGGCGACCGGCCACACUGGGGACUGAGACACGGCCCAGACUCCUACGGGAGGCAGCAGUGGGGAAUAUUGCACAAUGGGCGAAAGCCUGAUGCAGCGACGCCGCGUGAGGGAUGACGGCCUUCGGGUUGUAAACCUCUUUCAGCAGGGAAGAAGCGCAAGUGACGGUACCUGCAGAAGAAGCACCGGCUAACUACGCGCCAGCAGCCGCGGUAA
rnacentral:rRNA from 1 species